rnacentral:rRNA from 1 species
UACGUAGGCAGCAAGCGUUGUUCGGAAUUACUGGGCGUAAAGAGUGUGUAGGCGGUGCUCUAAGUCUGUCGUGAAAUCUCCCGGCUUAACUGGGAGGGUGCGGCGGAGACUGGAGUGCUAGAGUGUGGGAGAGGUAAGCGGAAUUCCUGGUGUAGCGGUGAAAUGCGUAGAUAUCAGGAGGAACACCUGUGGUGUAGACAGCUUACUGGACCACGACUGACGCUGAGACACGAAAGCCAGGGGAGCAAACGGG